GGCGCCUUUAUGAGGAAUUUCUUGAUUACGUUCAAUGGUUCGAAUCUGAUCGAGUGUCUUGAUGUCUGGAGACAAGCCACCGUGCACACAGAGAAUCUGCUCAUCUAUUAACUGGAGAGAAAAAGAAACACACAAAACACUCGGUAUCGCAACCAAACCAUGAACCUCUCCAGCACGACCCUUAGAGGCCACCAAUUCUAGAAAUUAUAUUUAGACAAUCUACUUUUUUAGUGAGGCGUUUACACUUACAGCUGCUAUUGUGAGCAUGUCAAAGACUUUGGUACAGUAUCUCCAAGCAUUAGCAUUUCCGUAUUUGGUUUGGCACUCAUCAUAAAAUCCAUACACUUGCGUUAUCUGCCUGCUUUCGUGAUUGCCUCGUAACAGCGUGAUACGAUCGGGCCAUUUAGCUUUUAGUGCGAGAAGAUAAGUGAAAGUCUCAAGACUAUAGUAACCUCUAUCUACAAAGUCACCCAUGAAGAUGUAGUUGGUGUCAGGCACCUGCCCGCCGGUCCGGAACAGCUCGCACAGGUCAUAGAACUGCCCGUGGAUGUCCCCGCAGACGGUGACGGGCGUGGAGACGGGCUGCACGUUGGACUCCUCCAGCAGCAGGUCGCACACGUAGUCGCACAGACGCUUGAGGUCAUUC
rnacentral:lncRNA from 1 species